AUCACGGCGUCAUCAUCUUUUGUAUGGGAGUUUAACAUACGUGCUCUUUGAGUCUUUGCUGGUUUCUUUCGUUUGAGGGUGAGGUUUUCAGGACAUAAAUUUAAAAGAUAGCGGUAAAUGGUCUAUUACACACAAAUGGUAGAAGAGAGUUUCAAAUAAAGCAUGGGUAAAAACGCAAAAUGAAAAUGAAAGAACAAAGACAAACAUACACGAGUGAGAUGUUGGGGAAAACCACAAAAAACCUUUCAUAUAUAUUGGAAAAGAAGCUGUAAACUAAAGGCUAAUUUAUACUUCGUGCGACAAGUGUCGCGCGCCAUGUCGCAUAAGGAAUAUGACGUCAUAUCACCAAAACGGAAGUACCAUUUGACGUAAUUUCACCGUAUUGUCGCACACGUGCGCCUCGCAAAAAGUUGUAACGUCGCAGACAUUUUGUCGGAUUGUCGCGCAAGAUAAUUGGCUAUCUAAUAACACGUGGUUAGUCACUUGUGGUUUGUCUCAGCAUAUGUUUAUCACAAAUAUGAAAAAAUAUUAAAUCAUGGAUGGAUUCGAAGAAAGAUUAGCGGAAGAAGUUAGGAAAUACCCUCAUAUAUAAGACUCGUCUAGAAGGGAUUAUAAAGACCUACAAAAUACUACGAAUUCAUGAAAGGAAAUCGCCGAAAAGCUCGAAACAAAUGAUGCUGUUUGCAGACAAAAAUGGAAGAAAAUACGGGACCGAUUUACGAAAGCCAAAAAGCGUUUGAAAUCGAAGAGUGGUAAUCCUGGCGGAAAAAUUAUACCUGCUAUUGUCAUUAGCCUGUCGUGGUUGUCUAGCAUUUUAGCAGAAAUGAAUUCAUUUGAUUCACAAAAAAUAUUAACAGUGCUGCCAAUGCAUUACUUGAUGUAAAUGUCAAAAUAAUUUUAAAUUUGUAUGCAGAUUUCGCGCGGUUGUCGCAUGGGUUGUCGCGUUUACUAUAAAUGCUUUAUUUGACAGUCGGAUGGCGCGUGCCCAUAGAUUGCACAAGCCAGAGUGUCGCGCGACACAUGUCGUAAGAAGUAUAAAUUGGCCUUAAUUCUCGUAGCCUGUUGUAGUCACGAAAAGCAACCGCUCUACUACACGGACUGUCACGUUCAUGAACAACAUAGAUAGGUGGAGCUGCAUUGAGCGUAGACCACAUGCAGUUCAAACACGUUUGAAUAUAAUUGAUGAUUUGAUUUAACGGCAAACCUCAAGAUUUCUAGAACAAAAAUAAGUUUGUCCCACCGUUGUCAAGACUUUGGAGAUUGGAACCGAAGCUCGAAGGAAACGAGGUUAAAAUUAAGGCGAAAAGUAAACGAACAAAAAUCAACGUUAUCAUGUCAUUUAUACGUUCAUUCAAAGCGAUUUUCUCGGAAAAUUCCGAGCUCAAAGUUCGAUGUGGUAUACUAGCAUCUAUCAUACUUAUUUGUGUAGCUUAAGUCACAGCCUCACAGGUGCAAUUUUGUUUGAAAAAAGACAGAAAAGUUGCAAAAACUCUUGUAUUGCAACGCAUUUUCUAUAGCUUAUUAUACCUUAUAUGGUCAACACUAAAUACAAUAAAAUAAAAUAAACAAUAUAAUGAAAAAAUAUAAAGAAGUCUUUUGUGCUUCAACAUAUUUUUUGACAGCGAAUGAAGACAUAAAAUAAGUAAAGGAGAGAAAAAAAACAGGCUGUAUGGGCGAAAUUUCUGUAUGUUGGCACCAACGUGAUCGGAAGAGUUUAAUUAACAAAAUUGACUUUGUCUCUCUAAGAUUCAAAUUUUCUUCAAAAAUUCCACCAUGUACUAGAACUUUCUUCUCAAACUAUUUCUACAGGAUAUACAUACAAUACAAACUUAUAUCAGUGGAAGGAAACAAAACAUACGUUUAUCGGCGAGCCCAUUUCUGUGAGCUUCGAUUGUUCGUUGCAGACAAAGCGACGACUUUUGAUUUUUAAUUUUGGCAAAGCACAAAAUUGAAAACAUUUUUUAUGAAUAAUCAAUUCUUAAAUGCAUGAUAUUCAAGGCAAAGAAACCAAGGAGUUGCUCACAAAAUAGAAAACUAUUCACAACACACAGUUAUCUAUCUUUAGCAACAUCCAGUGAAAUGUUUUGUCUCUAGUAAAGACUCUAUAGACUACUACGUUAAGGAAAUUAAAAAAGGAAACCAAAGGGCUUGGUGGGAAAGGUUUGAUUGAAGCAGAUCUAAGACGUGUGAAUAAAGCAAAUAACAAGUAUAAGAACAGAACAGAAACACAAAAAAUAGAAGAAAAUUUCAUAGGGGGAUAGAACAUACCUAGAGCGCAAAAUAAGCAAAAGUAAAAAAAAUCCUAUGAUCUAGUAGCAUUUUAUCUUUAUGACAGUUAACAAACUUUAAAGUUGAACUUUUUGGAAUAAGCCUUCAUUCUUGAAGAGCUUCUCUGUUGGACUUUAAGAGAAUGUUGUCACAUUCGUAGCUAUAUUUUCCACCACAUUUGAGUAGUUAUCGAUAGUGCGAAGGAAGGUGAGAGUUUCCCAAGUUUAUUAAAGCUUGAUAAAUAAGAAAGUUGCUUAAAUUUUGUUAUUGCUAGUAUAAUUAUAAAAUACUUCUAUACAGCCAGCGCACCAAUUUAAAACUGCUAUAUAAGUUCAACGUCUGGGUAAAGAUGUACUACAAGUAUUUCCUUUAUUGUAUAUUAUUAUAUGGCAAGAGUUACUUCCUGCUAAUUGGCGGGCUUUGAUUGGCUCAGAAACCUUUUUGCCGGUCCAUUACUUUCCCGUAAUCGACCACGGGCCAAAGCGCGUAAUUUUAAAAUCAAAUGCAAACAAACUUUGUGAAGCAAACAGCAUAACGCAUAAUACAAAAUAAACGAAACGAAAAACCA